GACGAACGCUGGCGGCGUGCUUAACACAUGCAAGUCGAACGGAAAGUCCCUUCUUUUGUGGGGUGCUCGAGUGGCGAACUGGUGAGUAACACUUUAGUAACCUGCCCUUGACUUUGGGUUAACUUCAUGAAACUUGGGCUAAUACCGGAUAGGAGCUCCUGCUGCAUGGUGGGGGUUGGAAAGUUUCGGCGGUUGGGGAUGGACUCGCGGCUUAUCAGCUUGUUGGUGGGGUAGUGGCUUACCAAGGCUUUGACGGGUAGCCGGCCUGAGAGGGUGACAGGACACAUUGGGACUGAGAUACGGCACAGACUAGUACGGGAGGCAGCAGUGGGGAAUAGUACACAAGGGGAGGAAGCCUGAUGCAGCAAAGCCGCGUGGGGGAUGACGGCAUUCGGGUUGUAAACCGAUUUCGCCUGGGACGAAGCGUGAGUGACGGUAAUGGGUAAAGAAGCACCGGCUAACUACGUG
rnacentral:rRNA from 1 species